rnacentral:rRNA from 1 species
AUUGAACGCUGGCGGCAGGCCUAACACAUGCAAGUCGAGCGGAUGAGGGAAGCUUGCUUCCCGAUUUAGCGGCGGACGGGUGAGUAAUGCCUAGGAAUCUGCCUAUUAGUGGGGGAUAACGUUCCGAAAGGAACGCUAAUACCGCAUACGUCCUACGGGAGAAAGUGGGGGAUCUUCGGACCUCACGCUAAUAGAUGAGCCUAGGUCGGAUUAGCUAGUUGGUGGGGUAACGGAUCACCAAGGCGACGAUCCGUAGCUGGUCUGAGAGGAUGAUCAGCCACACUGGAACUGAGACACGGUCCAGACUCUUACGGGAGGCAGCAGUGGGGAAUAUUGGACAAUGGGCGAAAGCCUGAUCCAGCCAUGCCGCGUGUGUGAAGAAGGUCUUCGGAUUGUAAAGCACUUUAAGUUGGGAGGAAGGGUUGUAAGCUAAUAUCUUGCAGCUUUGACGUUACCAACAGAAUAAGCACCGGCUAACUCUGUGCCAGCAGCCGCCGUAAGAC